CUACGGGUGGCUCCAGUGGGGAAUAUUGGACAAUGGGCGCAAGCCUGAUCCAGCAAUGCCGCGUGAGUGAAGACGGCCUUAGGGUUGUAAAACUCUUUCGCUAGGGAAGAUAAUGACUGUACCUAGUAAAGAAGUCCCGGCUAACUCCGUGCCAGCAGCCGCGGUAAUACGGAGGGGACUAGCGUUGUUCGGAAUUACUGGGCGUAAAGAGUUCGUAGGCGGACUGACAAGUUAGAGGUGAAAUCCCAGGGCUCAACCCUGGAACUGCCUUUAAAACUGUCAGUCUAGAGACCGGAAGAGGUUAGGGGAAUACCUAGUGUAGAGGUGAAAUGCGUAGAGAUCUGGAGGAAUACCAGUGGCGAAGGCGCCUAACUGGUCCGGUACUGACGCUGAGGAACGAAAGCGUGGGGAGCAAACAGGAUUAGAUACCCUAGUAGUC
rnacentral:rRNA from 1 species